rnacentral:misc_RNA from 1 species
UUGCUUCCUCAAAAUUUAGUUGUAACCCCUCUCUUAAAGAAGAUUCUGCCUCUUGAAUAUUUCCCUCAUCAAGCUUUGCUUCAACUUCAGUUGUUUGCAUCCAAAUCCCAUUUGCACAUAGUUCUCGAACCAGUUUUUGUUCUUCAUUCUCACUGGAUCCUGCAGAUUGGCUCCCCACCAUUUGUGCUCUCUCCCUCCCUCCUCUUUCCUCAUAAAUUUCACACUGUAACUCUAAUGCGAUCAACAAGCAUGUGCUCUUGUAAAUGGAUCAAC